rnacentral:rRNA from 1 species
AUUGAACGCUGGCGGCAUGCUUUACCCAUCAAGGUGAAACGCAGGACGGGGUUUGGGCUGGGGGCGGGUGGGGAACGGGGGGGGAAUAAUAUGGGACCGACCCCGGAGGGGGGGGUAAAGGUAGGGAAGUUAAGCCUAUUACCCAAAACAACCAUGGAUGGAAACAGGGGGCCGCCAAGCCCUUUGCCCCUGGGGCGGCCGAUAUCUGAUUAGCUAGUUGGUGAGGUAAAGGCUCACCAAGGCGACGAUCAGUAGCUGGUCUGAGAGGACGACCAGCCACACUGGAACUGAGACACGGUCCAGACUCCUACGGGAGGCAGCAGUGGGGAAUUUUGGACAAUGGGCGCAAGCCUGAUCCAGCAAUGCCGCGUGAGUGAAGAAGGCCUUCGGGUUGUAAAGCUCUUUUGUCAGGGAAGAAACGGUAGAGGCUAAUAUCCUUUGCUAAUGACGGUACCUGAAGAAUAAGCACCGGCUAACUACGUG